CUGGUGUUUUUUUAGAAACUGAAGAUGAUGCAGUUUUGCCACGUUGGCCAGGCUGGUCUAGAACUCCUGACCUCAAGUGAUCUACCCUCCUCGGCCUCCCAAAGUGCUGGGAUUAGAGGUGUGCACCACUGCCCCCAGCCCAUGAGCCACUGCACCCAGCUCAGUAAGCACUUUAAAAGAAGACCUGGACAUCAGAGCCUCUCUCCUGCUGGUUUUGAAGAAGCAAGCUGCCACAAGUCUACAGCUGUAAGGAAAUGAAUUGUGCCAACGAUCCCAUGUGCUUGAAAGAGGACCCUGAACCUCAGAUGAGACCCAGUCCCAGGAGACAGAUUGAGUGCUGCCUCUCAGGACCCUGAACAGAGGAGCCAGUUGAACCAUCAACAGGCUCCUGACCCACAGAAACUGUGAGACAAUAAACGUGUAUUGUCUUAAGCUCCUAAGUGUG
rnacentral:lncRNA from 1 species